CCUACGGGUCGCACCAGUAGGGAAUAUUGCACAAUGGGCUCAAGCCUGAUGCAGCCAUGCCGCGUGUAUGAAGAAGGCCUUCGGGUUGUAAAGUACUUUCAGCGGGGAGGAAGGCGAUAAGGUUAAUAACCUUGUCGAUUGACGUUACCCGCAGAAGAAGCACCGGCUAACUCCGUGCCAGCAGCCGCGGUAAUACGGAGGGUGCAAGCGUUAAUCGGAAUUACUGGGCGUAAAGCGCACGCAGGCGGUCUGUCAAGUCGGAUGUGAAAUCCCCGGGCUCAACCUGGGGACUGCAUUCGAAACUGGCAGGCUGGAGUCUUGUAGAGGGGGGUAGAAUUCCAGGUGUAGCGGUGAAAUGCGUAGAGAUCUGGAGGAAUACCGGUGGCGAAGGCGGCCCCCUGGACAAAGACUGACGCUCAGGUGCGAGAGCGUGGGGAGCAAACAGGAUUAGAUACCCUUGUGGUC
rnacentral:rRNA from 1 species